CCCUUAGAUGUUCUGGGCUGCACGCGCGCUACACUGAUGCAUUCAACGAGUUCCUACCUUGGCCGAGAGGCCUGGGCAAUCUUUUGAACUUGCAUCGUGAUAGGGAUAGAUUAUUGCAAUUAUUAAUCUUGAACGAGGAAUUCCUAGUAAACGCAGAUCAUCAAUCUGCAUUGAUUACGUCCCUGCCCUUUGUACACACCGCCCGUCGCACCUACCGAUUGAAUGGUCCGGUGAAGCCUCGGGAUUGUGGUUAGUUUCCUUCAUUGGAAGUUAGCCGCGAGAACUUGUCUAAACCUUAUCAUUUAGAGGAAGGUGAAGUCGUAACA
rnacentral:rRNA from 1 species